rnacentral:rRNA from 1 species
GACGACGCUGGCGGCGUGGAUUAGGCAUGCAAGUCGAACGGUAUCAUCCUUUCGGGGGUGAGAGAGUGGCGAACUGGUGAGUAACACGUAGGUUAUCUACCCUCAAGACGGGGACAACCCAGGGAAACUUGGGCUAAUACCGGAUGUGAGCAACUUUUAGUUGUUUGAAAGGUGGCGUAAGCUGUCGCUUGGGGAUGAGCCUGCGUCCUAUUAGUUAGUUGGUGAGGUAACGGCUCACCUAGGCAAUGAUAAGUAGGCGGCCUUAACGGGUGGUCGCCCACACUGGGAUUGAGAUACGGCCCAGACUCCUACGGGAGGCAGCAGCUAAGAAUCUUCCGCAAUGGGGGCAACCCUGACGGAGCGACGCCGCGUGAACGAGGAAGGCCGAAAGGUUGUAAAGUUCUUUUCUUGGGGAAGAAUAAAGGGAAGAGGGAAUGCUUCUCUGAUGACGGUAACCGAGGAAAAAGCCCCGGCCAACUUACGUG